rnacentral:rRNA from 1 species
CGCAGCCGCGGUAAUUCCAGCUCCAAUAGCGUAUAUUAAAGUUGUUGCAGUUAAAAAGCUCGUAGUUGAAUUUCGGGAUCAAUUAGUCGGUCGUGCCUCUGGUACGUACUGGUUUUAUUGGUUCCUCCCUUCUGACGAAACAUGAUGUCAUUAAUUUGGUGUCGUGGAGAAUCAGGACUGUUACCUUGAAAAAAUUAGAGUGUUUAUAGCAGGCUAACGCUUGAAUACAUUAGCAUGGAAUAAUGAAAUAGGACGUUCGACCCUAUUUUGUUGGUUUCUAGGAUCGACGUAAUGAUUAAUAGGGAUAGUUGGGGGCAUUAGUAUUCAAUUGUCAGAGGUGAAAUUCUUGGAUUUAUUGAAGACUAACUACUGCGAAAGCAUUUGCCAAGGAUGUUUUCAUUAAUCAAGAACGAAAGUUAGGGGAUCGAAGACGAUCAGAUACCGUCGUAG